rnacentral:rRNA from 1 species
ACACUAUCGUUAACUGAAUACAUAGGUUAACGAGGCGAACCGGGGGAACUGAAACAUCUAAGUACCCCGAGGAAAAGAAAUCAACCGAGAUUCCCCCAGUAGCGGCGAGCGAACGGGGAGCAGCCCAGAGUCUGAAUCAGCUUGUGUGUUAGUGGAACGGUCUGGAAAGUCCGACGGUACAGGGUGAUAGUCCCGUACACCAAAAUGCACAGGCUGUGAACUCGAAGAGUAGGGCGGGACACGUGGUAUCCUGUCUGAAUAUGGGGGGACCAUCCUCCAAGGCUAAAUACUCCUGACUGACCGAUAGUGAACCAGUACCGUGAGGGAAAGGCGAAAAGAACCCCGGCGAGGGGAGUGAAAAAGAACCUGAAACCGUGUACGUACAAGCAGUGGGAGCACCUUCGGGUGUGACUGCGUACCUUUUGUAUAAUGGGUCAGCGACUUAUAUUCUGUAGCAAGGUUAACCGUAUAGGGGAGCCGCAGGGAAACCGAGUCUUAACUGGGCGUUAAGUUGCAGGGUAUAGACCCGAAACCCGGUGAUCUAGCCAUGGGCAGGUUGAAGGUUGGGUAACACUAACUGGAGGACCGAACCGACUAAUGUUGAAAAAUUAGCGGAUGACUUGUGGCUGGGGGUGAAAGGCCAAUCAAACCGGGAGAUAGCUGGUUCUCCCCGAAAGCUAUUUAGGUAGCGCCUCGUGAACUCAUCUUCGGGGGUAGAGCACUGUUUCGGCUAGGGGGUCAUCCCGACUUACCAACCCGAUGCAAACUACGAAUACCGAAGAAUGUUAUCACGGGAGACACACGGCGGGUGCUAACGUCCGUCGUGAAGAGGGAAACAACCCAGACCGCCAGCUAAGGUCCCAAAGUCAUGGUUAAGUGGGAAACGAUGUGGGAAGGCACAGACAGCCAGGAUGUUGGCUUAGAAGCAGCCAUCAUUUAAAGAAAGCGUAAUAGCUCACUGGUCGAGUCGGCCUGCGCGGAAGAUGUAACGGGGCUAAACCAUGCACCGAAGCUGCGGCAGCGACACUAUGUGUUGUUGGGUAGGGGAGCGUUCUGUAAGCCUGCGAAGGUGUGCUGUGAGGCAUGCUGGAGGUAUCAGAAGUGCGAAUGCUGACAUAAGUAACGAUAAAGCGGGUGAAAAGCCCGCUCGCCGGAAGACCAAGGGUUCCUGUCCAACGUUAAUCGGGGCAGGGUGAGUCGACCCCUAAGGCGAGGCCGAAAGGCGUAGUCGAUGGGAAACAGGUUAAUAUUCCUGUACUUGGUGUUACUGCGAAGGGGGGACGGAGAAGGCUAUGUUAGCCGGGCGACGGUUGUCCCGGUUUAAGCAUGUAGGCUGGUUAUCCAGGCAAAUCCGGAUAAUCAAGGCUGAGGUGUGAUGACGAGGCACUACGGUGCUGAAGUAACAAAUGCCCUGCUUCCAGGAAAAGCCUCUAAGCAUCAGGUAACAUCAAAUCGUACCCCAAACCGACACAGGUGGUCAGGUAGAGAAUACCAAGGCGCUUGAGAGAACUCGGGUGAAGGAACUAGGCAAAAUGGUGCCGUAACUUCGGGAGAAGGCACGCUGGUGUGUAGGUGAAGCCCCUGCGGGUGGAGCUGAGACCAGUCGAAGAUACCAGCUGGCUGCAACUGUUUAUUAAAAACACAGCACUGUGCAAACACGAAAGUGGACGUAUACGGUGUGACGCCUGCCCGGUGCCGGAAGGUUAAUUGAUGGGGUUAUCCGUAAGGAGAAGCUCUUGAUCGAAGCCCCGGUAAACGGCGGCCGUAACUAUAACGGUCCUAAGGUAGCGAAAUUCCUUGUCGGGUAAGUUCCGACCUGCACGAAUGGCGUAAUGAUGGCCAGGCUGUCUCCACCCGAGACUCAGUGAAAUUGAACUCGCUGUGAAGAUGCAGUGUACCCGCGGCAAGACGGAAAGACCCCGUGAACCUUUACUAUAGCUUGACACUGAACAUUGAGCCUUGAUGUGUAGGAUAGGUGGGAGGCUUUGAAGCGUGGACGCCAGUCUGCGUGGAGCCAACCUUGAAAUACCACCCUUUAAUGUUUGAUGUUCUAACGUUGGCCCCUUACCGGGGUUGCGGACAGUGUCUGGUGGGUAGUUUGACUGGGGCGGUCUCCUCCCAAAGCGUAACGGAGGAGCACGAAGGUUAGCUAAUCCUGGUCGGACAUCAGGAGGUUAGUGCAAUGGCAUAAGCUAGCUUGACUGCGAGCGUGACGGCGCGAGCAGGUGCGAAAGCAGGUCAUAGUGAUCCGGUGGUUCUGAAUGGAAGGGCCAUCGCUCAACGGAUAAAAGGUACUCCGGGGAUAACAGGCUGAUACCGCCCAAGAGUUCAUAUCGACGGCGGUGUUUGGCACCUCGAUGUCGGCUCAUCACAUCCUGGGGCUGAAGUAGGUCCCAAGGGUAUGGCUGUUCGCCAUUUAAAGUGGUACGCGAGCUGGGUUUAGAACGUCGUGAGACAGUUCGGUCCCUAUCUGCCGUGGGCGCUGGAGAAUUGAGGGGGGCUGCUCCUAGUACGAGAGGACCGGAGUGGACGCAUCACUGGUGUUCGGGUUGUCAUGCCAAUGGCACUGCCCGGUAGCUAAAUGCGGAAGAGAUAAGUGCUGAAAGCAUCUAAGCACGAAACUUGCCCCGAGAUGAGUUCUCCCUGAGACUUUAAGUCUCCUGAAGGAACGUUAAAGACGAUGACGUUGAUAGGCCGGGUGUGUAAGCGCAGCGAUGCGUUGAGCUAACCGGUACUAAUGAACCGUGAGGCUUAACCUU